UUAAGCGACUAAGCGUACACGGUGGAUGCCCUGGCAGUCAGAGGCGAUGAAGGACGUGCUAAUCUGCGAUAAGCGUCGGUAAGGUGAUAUGAACCGUUAUAACCGGCGAUUUCCGAAUGGGGAAACCCAGUGUGAUUCGUCACACUAUCAUUAACUGAAUCCAUAGGUUAAUGAGGCGAACCGGGGGAACUGAAACAUCUAAGUACCCCGAGGAAAAGAAAUCAACCGAGAUUCCCCCAGUAGCGGCGAGCGAACGGGGAGGAGCCCAGAGCCUGAAUCAGUGUGUGUGUUAGUGGAAGCGUCUGGAAAGGCGCGCGAUACAGGGUGACAGCCCCGUACACAAAAAUGCACAUGCUGUGAGCUCGAUGAGUAGGGCGGGACACGUGGUAUCCUGUCUGAAUAUGGGGGGACCAUCCUCCAAGGCUAAAUACUCCUGACUGACCGAUAGUGAACCAGUACCGUGAGGGAAAGGCGAAAAGAACCCCGGCGAGGGGAGUGAAAAAGAACCUGAAACCGUGUACGUACAAGCAGUGGGAGCACGCUUAGGCGUGUGACUGCGUACCUUUUGUAUAAUGGGUCAGCGACUUAUAUUCUGUAGCAAGGUUAACCGAAUAGGGGAGCCGAAGGGAAACCGAGUCUUAACUGGGCGUUAAGUUGCAGGGUAUAGACCCGAAACCCGGUGAUCUAGCCAUGGGCAGGUUGAAGGUUGGGUAACACUAACUGGAGGACCGAACCGACUAAUGUUGAAAAAUUAGCGGAUGACUUGUGGCUGGGGGUGAAAGGCCAAUCAAACCGGGAGAUAGCUGGUUCUCCCCGAAAGCUAUUUAGGUAGCGCCUCGUGAAUUCAUCUCCGGGGGUAGAGCACUGUUUCGGCAAGGGGGUCAUCCCGACUUACCAACCCGAUGCAAACUGCGAAUACCGGAGAAUGUUAUCACGGGAGACACACGACGGGUGCUAACGUCCGUCGUGAAGAGGGAAACAACCCAGACCGCCAGCUAAGGUCCCAAAGUCAUGGUUAAGUGGGAAACGAUGUGGGAAGGCCCAGACAGCCAGGAUGUUGGCUUAGAAGCAGCCAUCAUUUAAAGAAAGCGUAAUAGCUCACUGGUCGAGUCGGCCUGCGCGGAAGAUGUAACGGGGCUAAACCAUGCACCGAAGCUGCGGCAGCGACGCUUAUGCGUUGUUGGGUAGGGGAGCGUUCUGUAAGCCUGCGAAGGUGUGCUGUGAGGCAUGCUGGAGGUAUCAGAAGUGCGAAUGCUGACAUAAGUAACGAUAAAGCGGGUGAAAAGCCCGCUCGCCGGAAGACCAAGGGUUCCUGUCCAACGUUAAUCGGGGCAGGGUGAGUCGACCCCUAAGGCGAGGCCGAAAGGCGUAGUCGAUGGGAAACAGGUUAAUAUUCCUGUACUUGGUGUUACUGCGAAGGGGGGACGGAGAAGGCUAUGUUGGCCGGGCGACGGUUGUCCCGGUUUAAGCGUGUAGGCUGGUUUUCCAGGCAAAUCCGGAAAAUCAAGGCUGAGGCGUGAUGACGAGGCACUACGGUGCUGAAGCAACAAAUGCCCUGCUUCCAGGAAAAGCCUCUAAGCAUCAGGUAACAUCAAAUCGUACCCCAAACCGACACAGGUGGUCAGGUAGAGAAUACCAAGGCGCUUGAGAGAACUCGGGUGAAGGAACUAGGCAAAAUGGUGCCGUAACUUCGGGAGAAGGCACGCUGAUAUGUAGGUGAAGUCCCUCGCGGAUGGAGCUGAAAUCAGUCGAAGAUACCAGCUGGCUGCAACUGUUUAUUAAAAACACAGCACUGUGCAAACACGAAAGUGGACGUAUACGGUGUGACGCCUGCCCGGUGCCGGAAGGUUAAUUGAUGGGGUCAGCGCAAGCGAAGCUCUUGAUCGAAGCCCCGGUAAACGGCGGCCGUAACUAUAACGGUCCUAAGGUAGCGAAAUUCCUUGUCGGGUAAGUUCCGACCUGCACGAAUGGCGUAAUGAUGGCCAGGCUGUCUCCACCCGAGACUCAGUGAAAUUGAACUCGCUGUGAAGAUGCAGUGUACCCGCGGCAAGACGGAAAGACCCCGUGAACCUUUACUAUAGCUUGACACUGAACAUUGAGCCUUGAUGUGUAGGAUAGGUGGGAGGCUUUGAAGUGUGGACGCCAGUCUGCAUGGAGCCGACCUUGAAAUACCACCCUUUAAUGUUUGAUGUUCUAACGUUGACCCGUGAUCCGGGUUGCGGACAGUGUCUGGUGGGUAGUUUGACUGGGGCGGUCUCCUCCUAAAGAGUAACGGAGGAGCACGAAGGUUGGCUAAUCCUGGUCGGACAUCAGGAGGUUAGUGCAAUGGCAUAAGCCAGCUUGACUGCGAGCGUGACGGCGCGAGCAGGUGCGAAAGCAGGUCAUAGUGAUCCGGUGGUUCUGAAUGGAAGGGCCAUCGCUCAACGGAUAAAAGGUACUCCGGGGAUAACAGGCUGAUACCGCCCAAGAGUUCAUAUCGACGGCGGUGUUUGGCACCUCGAUGUCGGCUCAUCACAUCCUGGGGCUGAAGUAGGUCCCAAGGGUAUGGCUGUUCGCCAUUUAAAGUGGUACGCGAGCUGGGUUUAGAACGUCGUGAGACAGUUCGGUCCCUAUCUGCCGUGGGCGCUGGAGAAUUGAGGGGGGCUGCUCCUAGUACGAGAGGACCGGAGUGGACGCAUCACUGGUGUUCGGGUUGUCAUGCCAAUGGCACUGCCCGGUAGCUAAAUGCGGAAGAGAUAAGUGCUGAAAGCAUCUAAGCACGAAACUUGCCCCGAGAUGAGUUCUCCCUGACUCCUUGAGAGUCCUGAAGGAACGUUGAAGACGACGACGUUGAUAGGCCGGGUGUGUAAGCGCAGCGAUGCGUUGAGCUAACCGGUACUAAUGAACCGUGAGGCUUAACCUU
rnacentral:rRNA from 1 species